GGGCAUUCAGAAGGCUUGUUGACUAGGCUACUCGCUGAGAACGAAGUUUCUCCAUUCUCGCCUAGGGGAAAGUCCCCGGACACAUGGCAGAAAGUGCCCUGCGUUGGUUCGCAGUUACUCGGCUUGUGCGUUACCAUUUGUGGCUAAGAUGUUCCAUGGGACGGAGCUUGGUUCUCACGAGUCUCCUUUGUCAGUGCGAUAGAAAUGCAAGUAAUACUAGCGCAUGAACAGAACGGGGCUCAUUCUCAGAAUGCA
ensembl:ribozyme RNase_MRP RNase MRP